ensembl:lncRNA
UUGGAUCAGUGCCCAGUGACUUUACCAUCAAUUGUUUCCAAAAUUAGCCUCUCUUGCUGUACAUUUUAGUGCAUUUGACUGUUUAUUUGUGGUGUCUUUUUUGUCUCAGCACCUAUAAUUCACUAAAAACAUACAAAACUUUGGGGGAAAAAAGACAAAAAACAAAAAGAGCACUGCACAAUUUAUCUUGUGGGCUGGUUCUGAGUUCUAGGUGGUGGAGGAUGCAGCAGACUACUGUGAAGACAUUCUGUACUUGCGCUGAAAUUAUGCAACUUUUCAGUGAAUUUUUUUCUAUCACUGGCCAAAACAGCCUAUUCAUAUUCUCUCUUUCUCCUCCAGUAAUUCACUAAAUACAGACAAUGUUUUCUUAAAUGGUUAUUUUUCAAUUCGGGGAAGUGUAAUUGGCGCAGAAGAAUCACUCACACUGCUACCUCUGCUCUGCUUUCAAUCCCACAGUCCCCCUCCGUAGGCCUUACUACUGUGUGCCUAGUUCCCAUUGAUGAACUGAGAAAAACUUUCUCACUUUGUUCCAGUGGACUCUAGCCUUUUUAAGAAGUAGAUUGGAUUUACUUCCCAAAUAAGAUCUGCCUAGUGGAGCAGUCAUUUUCAAAUGGUACAGCUGAUGUGGCAUUCCUCUAAUCAUCAAUGGAAAGCCUCAUCAUCAUGAGGAUGAUCCUGUUCGUGAGAUACUUCAUAGCAAAACACAAACAGAGCCAAAUGUGGCCUUUGUUUUGUGAUGUUCAAAUGAUAUUUUGUAUCUCUCGUUCUCUUUUGUUCUUCUUGUCCUCAGGCUGAACUGAUAGGCAGAUGGCUACAGUCUCUUCAUGAUCAGUUCCUGGGAUGGAUGAGUGGAAGUGGGUGCUCUCGAAUGUGGUGAAGGGGCAUAAUGGGCAUCUUGUCAUGGAUCAGGCCUUUGCACCAACCUCAGAGUGGUAACAGCAGCCUCAUCAGUUUAAUUGGUGAUGACUUCCUACCUUUGUACUGUUUAUGUGUACACACUAUAUUUGAGAAUGCAUCAGUAUCAUUAGGUCCAUGUUAAUGCGAAGCUGGAAUCUCUGCAUUAUUGAGCGCACAUAAUAAAUUAGAUUUGAUGCUGGAGAUCA